rnacentral:rRNA from 1 species
UCCCUGCCCUUUGUACACACCGCCCGUCGCUACUACCGAUUGAAUGGCUCAGUGAGGCCUUCGGACUGGCUCGAAGAGGUUGGCAACGACCACUUCGAGCCGGAAAGUUCGUCAAACUCGGUCAUUUAGAGGAAGUAAAAGUCGUAACAAGGUUUCCGUAGGUGAACCUGCGGAAGG